rnacentral:lncRNA from 13 species
UGUCCUCCCGCGUCCCGCCAGUAAAUGGUCGCGCCACUUGGCAGUCUGCUCUCGCCAUUUUUAUUUGGGGUCGUCCCCAAAGGCCACGUGGUGGGGAAACAGGGCCGGGGACACAAUGGUGGCACAGUGACCAGCCGCCUGGGCCCUGGCUAAUCACUAGAAACACCUGGAGGAACUCGUUGAAGGAAACAAGAAACAAAAUCCCUGCGAUUAGUGCUGCAGGCUUCUGGUGGUCCCAGCUAAUCUCUUUCAGGUGGAGGGCCCGGUGGGGGGGCCGGGCCGCCUCCCCAGUCCCGGAGCCCGGGGGCCUGGGGCCAGUGGUUGGAGCGUGUCGAGCCCCGUGAGGGAGUGACCCCCCUCCACCCCAUCCACUCGCAAAGCAGGUCAGGAGAGAAAACAGCAGAAUGUCAAAGCUGAGACGAAUAAAUCCCUCCGUGCUCAACUUCUCAAAUAACUCUGGUGUCUUGGAAUUCAAGGGACUUUGGAAAUGACUCCUUCCACAGUUUUCUACCUGAGGCCCAGGUUGCUGAGCAGAUGCAGACCCUCAUCCUCAGGGGACAGAAAACUCAAGUGACUGCUGGGACAAAGUUCCUCCAGAGAGGUGAUCCAGCGCGCCUUCCCCAUCCUCCACGUCACUCUCUGCUCUGCAGGGCGCGCCUGCUCAGUGAUCUCACCCUUUGUCGACCCAAGAACAGUCAUCCAUUGUUUCAUCCUCAGCCGAACUCGACUCCCUUUACAUUUUCACCGCUAAAUUGAAUCUACUGCCAGUAAUCUAAUUUACAUUUGAAGGCACACACAAUGCCAACAUGACCAAAUGCCAAUAAAAUUUCUAGUAAAACCUGUAAGUGGCUUGGU